AUUGAACGCUGGCGGCAGGCUUAACACAUGCAAGUCGAGCGGAGAUGAGGUGCUUGCACCUUAUCUUAGCGGCGGACGGGUGAGUAAUGCUUAGGAAUCUGCCUAUUAGUGGGGGACAACAUUCCGAAAGGGAUGCUAAUACCGCAUACGUCCUACGGGAGAAAGCAGGGGAUCUUCGGACAUUGCGCUAAUAGAUGAGCCUAAGUCGGAUUAGCUAGUUGGUGGGGUAAAGGCCUACCAAGGCGACGAUCUGUAGCGGGUCUGAGAGGAUGAUCCGCCACACUGGGACUGAGACACGGCCCAGACUCCUACGGGAGGCAGCAGUGGGGAAUAUUGGACAAUGGGGGGAACCCUGAUCCAGCCAUGCCGCGUGUGUGAAGAAGGCCUUAUGGUUGUAAAGCACUUUAAGCGAGGAGGAGGCUACUGAGACUAAUACUCUUGGAUGGUGGACGUUACUCGCAGAAUAAGCACCGGCUAACUCUGUGCCAGCAGCCGCAGUAACAC
rnacentral:rRNA from 1 species